UACGUAGGGUGCGAGCGUUAAUCGGAAUUACUGGGCGUAAAAGUGUGCGCAGGCGGCCGCGCAAGUCGAGUGUGAAAAUCCCCGAGCUUAACUUGGGAAUUGCGCUCGAAACUACGUGGCUGGAGUGUGGCAGAGGAAGGUGGAAUUCCACGUGUAGCGGUGAAAUGCGUAGAGAUGUGGAGGAACACCGAUGGCGAAGGCAGCCUUCUGGGCCAACACUGACGCUCAUGCACGAAAGCGUGGGGAGCAAACAGG
rnacentral:rRNA from 1 species